rnacentral:lncRNA from 1 species
GGGAGUGGGAGAAGUAGAGAGGCUGAGAUUAGUUUACCUACAUAAGAGUUAAAAUAAGUAGGGAACUUUUAUUUAAAAAGGUAGCAUCAAAAUUGAAUAGGCAUUGAAAUACAGAAGAAUGUGUUGUUCAAAACUUGUAUAAGGUGAGAACACAGAAGGUAGCCGUACACUGAUAUGUUCAUCUUAUUCACUAUUGUGUCAGACAAAUUCCCAAAGAAACUUUAGAAUAGCCUAAUUUAUACUUCAGAAAUAAUAUAUUCAGUGUUGAGAGUUAGGAAACAGUAAGAUUUAUCUUUGUUUUUUUUUUCAGGAGAGUAGGAACUUUUUACAUAAAACAAUAUUUGUCUUCUGUACUUUCUCUUUUACUUAUUGUUAAUAAUACUAUGAUAUAUAAUUUUUAAAGUUGAGCAUAUCAAGAAUGAAAACUGAAUCUGAUUGGCUAAAUAUGCACUAGCUGAUGUGUAUUUGUUGGCAAUAAUCAUAAGUGUUAGUGGGUAUAAUUUGUUUAUUUUUUCUUUCAUUUAUUAAAUUAUUUACUUUUUAUCCCAAUUGUAGCUUCUCCUUUCUCUUCUCCUCACAGUCCCUCUUUCUGCCCUCCCCUUCCUUUCUCCCUAGAGAAGGGGAGGUCUUGGCAUAGCAAGUUACAAUAGGACUAGGAGCAUCUUCCCCUUUGAUGCUAGAUAAUGCAGCCCAGUUAGGGGACAGGGAUUCAAACGUAAGCAACAAAGUCAGAGGCAGUCCCAAUUCCUACUGUUAGGAGUUGCACAAGACCAAGCUGCAAAUCAGUUCCAUAUACAGAGGGCCUAGGUCCAUCCCAUGCACAGUCUCUGGUUGGUGGAUCAGUCUCUAUGGGCCUCUUCGGUCUCAGGUUCUUGAUUCUGUAGGUUUUCUUGUUUUCUUUUUCCCACUCUUCCAUAGAAUUCCCUGAGCUCUGUCUAGUGUUUGGUUAUGAUCAUCUAUUUCUGACAGUUGCUGGCUGAAGAAUCCCAGAUGAUAGUUUUGCUAGGUAGGCGUACAUAGCACAAUAUCAUUAAUAGUUUCAGGGGUGGGCUCUGUCUCUUGGCAUGGGUCUCAAGUUGGGCCAAUCAUUGGUUGGUCAUUUCCUGAAUUGCUGCUCCAUCUUUGCUGGUGCUUAUCUUGUAGGGCAGGGAAAAUUGUCGGUUGAAGGUUUUGUGGCUGUGUUGGUGGCUGCAUCCUCCAUAAAAUCUCUUACCUGAUAACAGGAGGUAUCCAUGUCAGAUUCCAUAACCCCAUUGCUAGGAUUCUUAUCUAAAGUCACACUCAUAGGUUCCAGGGAGUUUCAACUGUCCUGGGUUUCUAGCUUGUCUCAGAUGCUACCCUGACAAAUUCCAGUUCUUUCUCAUUUCUUCCUCCCCACACCUGAUUGCACUUUUACUCUUCCUAUCUACCUCUGAUCCAGUUCCCUCCAUCUAUCAACAUACAAUGUCUAUGUUAUUUCACCUACUCAUUGAGAUUCAAGCACUACCCCCACCCACUCUAGCCCUAUCCUUGUUACUUAGCUUCUUUGGGUCUCUUGGAUUUUAGCAUGGUUAUCCUGUGCUGUAUGACUAAUAUCUAUUUUAUAAGUGAGUACAUACCAUUCUGGGUCUGGGUUACCUCACUCAGAUGACCUUUCCUAGUUGCAUCCAGUUUUAUGAUGUCAUUGUUUUUAAUAGCUGAGUAUUAUCCCAUUGUGUAAAUGUACAACAUUUUCUUUAUCUAUUCUAUUUCUUUAUCUAUUGAGGGAUAUCAAGAUUGUUUUCAGUUUCUGUCUAUUAAAGAUAAAACUGCUUCAACUUUCCCAUUAUUUAGUUUGCUGUAUGAUGUUAAGAGAUAUUAAGGAAAAGUGGUUGUUGCCUCCUGUUAUUUUUGUUCCUAGAAGUGGAAUUAUGUUUGUGUAGCUAUCUUCUUUUGGGUUUGUUGAAAGAAUAUUACUUUCUUGCUUUGUCUAGGGUGUAGUUUUCCUGCCUGUGUUUGAGUUUUUGUUUGUUUGUUUGGUUGGUUGGUUGGUUGUUGGUUUUUGUUCUUUGUUGUUGUUUGUUUGUUGUUUGUUUGUUUUCAGAAACAAUGGUAAUUCAGUCUCUGGGCACAACAACUAAAACCCAAUCUUGUAAGCCCAAUUAAAUCUGAUUCCUCUGGUGGUGAAUCCUGACAGAUCCACCAUGCUAUCCCCAUCCCAAUAGGCUCUAACCCUUUCCUCCUUCUCUUCCUCCAUCCAACCCCAAAGUCCUGCCCACUCACCCAGCGAUUGGUUCCUUUAUUCAUUAGGGGUUUAAUUCAUAAGAAGUCACCUGAGUACCUAAGUCUGCAGCCACUCCCAGAGAGUAGAAUUAGCAUCAAAAUACAACCAGCAUCAGGCCCAUCCACACAACACUUCCUCCUUUCUCUUCU